UACGUAGGGUGCAAGCGUUAUCCGGAAUUAUUGGGCGUAAAGAGCUCGUAGGCGGUUUGUCGCGUCUGCUGUGAAAACCCGAGGCUCAACCUCGGGCCUGCAGUGGGUACGGGCAGACUAGAGUGCGGUAGGGGAGAUUGGAAUUCCUGGUGUAGCGGUGGAAUGCGCAGAUAUCAGGAGGAACACCGAUGGCGAAGGCAGAUCUCUGGGCCGUAACUGACGCUGAGGAGCGAAAGCGUGGGGGAGCGAACAGG
rnacentral:rRNA from 1 species